GCCGCCUUAGCUCAGCUGGUAGAGCUCCCCACUUGUAAUGGGAAGGUCGUCGGUUCGAUUCCGACAGGCGGCUCCA
rnacentral:tRNA from 1 species